UCAAGCUAUAAAGAGCGCAAGGGGAAUGCCUUGGCAUCAGGAGCCGACGAAGGACGUGACAAGCUGCGAUAAGCUUCGGGGAGGAGCAAAUAUCCGUUGAUCCGGAGAUUUCCGAAUGGGGAAACCCACUGGAGCAAUACUCCAGUAUCGUGCGUUGAAUCAAAUAGGCGUACGAAGGGAACGCCCUGAACUGAAACAUCUAAGUAGGGGCAGGAAAAGACAUCAACCGAGAUUCCGCAAGUAGUGGCGAGCGAACGCGGAGGAGGCCAAACCGGUGGAUUUAUUCACCGGGGUUCGGACUGGCAUCACGAUCAGAGGUAUCUAGAAGAACGGCAUGGGAAGGCCGGCCAUAGAGGGUGAGAGCCCCGUAUUUGAAAGAGAAGACUGACAGCCAGAAUCCAGAGUACCGCGGGACACGUGAAACCCCGUGGGAACAAGGGUGGACCACCAUCCAAGCCUAAAUACUACCUGAUGACCGAUAGAGGAGCAGUACCGUGAGGGAAAGGUGAAAAGGACCCCGGGAGGGGAGUGAAAGAGAACCUGAAACCUUGUGCUUACAAGCACUCAAAGCACGUUAAAGUGUGAUGAGGUACUUUUUGUAGAACGGUCCGGCGAGUUAUAGUAACGAGCAAGGUUAAGCAAUUCAGUUGCGAAGCCGUAGCGAGAGCGAGUCUGAAUAGGGCGCAUGAAGUUCGUUGCCAUAGACCCGAAACCGGGUGACCUAACCAUGAGCAGGCUGAAGUGAGAGUAAAAUCUCAUGGAGGGCCGAACGCACGUUCGUUGCAAUGACCGGCGAUGACUUGUGGUUAGCGGAGAAAUUCCAAUCGAACUCGGAGAUAGCUGGUUCUCCCCGAAAUAGCUUUAGGGCUAGCCUCGUUUUAAAUUACCGGGGGUAGAGCACUGAAUGGGCUAGGGGGCCACAAAGCUUACCGAACCCUAUCAAACUUCGAAUACCGGAUAAUUGAUGAACGGGAGUCAGACGGCGGGAGAUAAGUUUCGUCGUCAAAAGGGAAACAGCCCAGAUCUACGACUAAGGUCCCGAAAUCACAGUUAAGUGGAAAAGGAUGUGCAGUUGCACAGACAACCAGGAUGUUGGCUUAGAAGCAGCCACUCAUUUAAAGAGUGCGUAAUAGCUCACUGGUCGAGUGAUUGUGCGCCGAAAAUGUACCGGGGCUAAACUGUGUACCGAAGUCUAGGGAUCGUGAUAAACGAUCGGUAGGGGAGCAACGUGUGCGGGCUGAAGCCGAAGCGAAAGCGACGGUGGACUGCACGGGAGAGAGAAUGCCGGCAUGAGUAGCGAGAGCAAAGUGAGAAUCUUUGCCGUCGAAAGCCUAAGGUUUCCUGAGGAAGGCUCGUCCUCUCAGGGUAAGUCAGGACCUAAGCCGAGGACAAAAGUCGUAGGCGAUGGACAACUGGUUGAUAUUCCAGUACCACCUUUAGCGUUUGACUGAAGCAGUGACACAGAAGGAUAGACAGAGCGCGUGACUGGUAGAGCGCGUCCAAGCGAUGAGGGAGUUAAGUAGUGAAGCACGCUUAACAAUCCUGGGUCGUGAUGGGGACUGAAAAUAAGUAGGGAAGCUGUUGAAUUCACGCUGGCGAGAAAAGCUGCUAAGGAGCGAAAGGGUGCCUGUACCGCAAACCGACACAGGUAGGCGAGGAGAGAAUCCUAAGACGAGCGGGAGAACCCAUGUUAAGGAACUCGGCAAAAUGACCCUGUAACUUCGGGAUAAAGGGAGCCACGAGAGUGGCCGCAGAGAAUAGGCCCAAGCGACUGUUUACCAAAAACACAGGUCUGUGCGAAGUAGAGAUACGACGUAUACGGGCUGACACCUGCCCAGUGCCGGAAGGUUAAGGGGAAAUGUUAGGGCAACCGAAGCAUGGAACUUAAGCCCCGGUGAACGGCGGCCGUAACUAUAACGGUCCUAAGGUAGCGAAAUUCCUUGUCGGGUAAGUUCCGACCCGCAUGAAAGGCGUAAUGAUUUGGGCGCUGUCUCAACGAGGGGCCCGGUGAAAUUGAAAUACCUGUGAAGAUGCAGGUUACCCGCGACUGGACAGAAAGACCCCAUGGAGCUUUACUGCAGCUUGAGAUUGAAUCCCGGUGGCAGACGCACAGGAUAGGUGGGAGGCUUUGAGAUAGUGACUUUGGUUGCUAUGGAGCCGACGUUGGGAUACCACCCUUCUGUUGCUGGGAUUCUAACGCGAAGAUUAACAACCUUGCGGACCAUCUCAGGUAGGCGGUUUGACUGGGGCGGUCGCCUCCGAAAGAGUAACGGAGGCGCCCAAAGGUUCCCUCAGGCCGGACAGAAACCGGCCGAAGAGUGCAAAGGCAGAAGGGAGCUUGACUGCGAGACAGACAAGUCGAGCAGAGACGAAAGUCGGGCUUAGUGAUCCGGUGGUACUGCGUGGAAAGGCCAUCGCUCAACGGAUAAAAGCUACCCUGGGGAUAACAGGCUAAUCUCUCCCAAGAGUUCAUAUCGACGGGGAGGUUUGGCACCUCGAUGUCGGCUCAUCACAUCCUGGAGCUGGAGUAGGUUCCAAGGGUUGGGCUGUUCGCCCAUUAAAGUGGUACGCGAGCUGGGUUCAAAACGUCGUGAGACAGUUUGGUUCAUAUCCAUCGCGGGCGCAAGAAGUUUGAGGGAGGCUGCUCCUAGUACGAGAGGACCGGAGUGGACGGAUCAACGGUGUACCAGUUGUCACGCCAGUGGCACGGCUGGAAAGCCGCAUCCGGAAAGGAUAAACGCUGAAAGCAUCUAAGCGUGAAGCCCGUCCCAAGAUGAGACUUCUCAUCAGCAAUGAGUAAGACCCCUUAAAGACGAUGAGGUUGAUAGGCUGUGAGUGGAAGAGCCGCGAGGCUUGGAGCGACGCAGUACUAAUAGGUCGAGGUCUUAACUUA
rnacentral:rRNA from 1 species